CCUACGGGAGGCAGCAGUGGGGAAUAUUGCACAAUGGGGGCAAGCCUGAUCCAGCCAUGCCGCGUGUGUGAAGAAGGCCUUCGGGUUGUAAACCGCUUUUGUCCGGGAGGAAAGGCCCUGGGCUAAUACCCUGGGGUUUUGACGUUACCGACAGAAUAAGCACCGGCUAACUCCGUGCCAGCAGCCGCGAUAAU
rnacentral:rRNA from 1 species